AACUAUGAGAAUGGGUAUUUCGACAAAAAUUGGAAAUGGCUACCGAUUCAUGGCGUUCUGCAAGUUGCUUCACCUCCUCUCCAUCUUCCACGUCUCCUACUUCUCAAGUUGCUUCUGGCCUCUCAUCACCUUCCGAAAGUUCUUGAACUUCAGAUUAAUCUCAUGGAGAAUUCGCCCCAUUCUUAAACCCCAAUACUCCAAUCCAGAUUAAUUAAUGUUGGAAAAUCUUUCCCGAUAUCGCCGCCGCUAGCGCCGCCGUAAAAUUGGGAUCUUUUGUCAACGAAGAAGCCAUCUGUUCGACGAGAAACUUUUGCACUUCCGGCGACUCAAAUCUUGGGUUGGAAAUCGUUUUAGCUUCUGUCGUCGGUUUGGGCGGCGCAGACAAGGAUCUCGGAGCUGCCGUGAGCGGCGCCGGAGCUAUGCUGACAGAACGGGCGGAAGUGGGGUCGAUCUGAGAUGCUUGUGGAUGGUUAUGUUCGCCUUCAUAUGUGGCCACCAGAACUGAUUGAUCUUCUACACUUCUUUGAACCUGCAAAUUCAAAUUUCAUAAUCAAACCAUGUCCAAAAUUUCAAACAAAACUCAAAGAUUUUAAGUAAUAUUGUUAAAUUUA